rnacentral:rRNA from 1 species
UGGGGAAUCAUGGUCAAUGGGCGAAAGCCUGAACCUGAGACGCCGCGUGAGUGAUGAAGGUCGUAAGAUCGUAAAACUCUUUUCAGGGAUCUUAAAGCCUGUCUGUCAACAACAGGCAGGUCUGACUCUCCCUGGAAGAAGCCCCAGCCAACUACGUGCCAGCAGCUGCGGUAAUACGUAGGGGGCGAGCGUUAUUCGGAAUUACUGGGUGUAAAGGUAUGUAGGCGGCCCUUCAAGUCGCGUGUCAAAGUCCAGUGCUCAACGCUGGGUGUGCACGCGAUACUGACGGGCUUGAGGGCUGGAGAGGUGAGCGGAAGUCCCGGUGUAGUGGUAAAAUACGUAGAGAUCGGGAGGAACACCAGCGGCGCAGGCGGCUCACUAGACAGUUUCUGACGCUAAGAUACGAAAGCGUGGGGAGCAAACA